AUAGCGCGACACUAGCCUAGCAUAAUUCUCCAUAUUGCAGCGUGUCGUUCAAAUCCAGUGCAUCAACAGUGUGACGCGACGGUGGAAUUGACGCUGCUGGAUGUGUGAGCCGGCCGCGCUGGAUAGCGCGAAACCAUAGCCUAGCAUCUAGUCCAGUGUGGCAGCACGUGUCCUAAUUCCAGUUGUCGGCAACAAUUGGCGCGUCUCCAGGUACAGUGCAGCAAGUACCAUCCAGUUGGAAUCACCUUGUAGUGCGUGUACAUGCAUAUGCAUAUACGUUGAUAAUGAGACGUCGUCUCCGUGUAUUGGCUGGUGAUUCGUCCCUGGUGUCUGCCGCUCCGUGUCCGUGUGUCGCGUCAGUGUUUCCGAAUGUCAGAACCAUGCGGCCGGAUGUGCAUGCCGCAAAAAUUGUAUGCGGCACAAGCCUAGCAUGGAUACCAGGUGUAUCCAGUCCACUGCAUGUGUGUGUCGGAGACCGCUGUCUCCAACAACCACAUGCAUCGGCCGCCCCAUGGCGCCGCCCGCACGUGUUUAAUGGUGUGUUGAGUAAUGGCAUCAAGGUUACUCCAUGUAGUGGCGAUGAUUCCUAUGCAAGUGUCUGCCGUAAGCAAUUUCCACUCGUCGUAAUCCAAGGUGUGUGCAGUUGCCGUUGUACGUCGAUGUCAAUGCCGCCUGGGUGUAUUUGCUGGCCACGCAAACGAUUGCGCUUGAAGCGUAUUGGCAGAGAACUAUAUUACUGGCUGCUGAUUGAGUAGUACCGAUGUAUGCUGGCCACGCAAACGAUUGCGCUUGAAGCGUAUUGGCAGAGAACUAUGUUACUGGCUGGUAGUGAGGCUGCCGAUGUUUGCUGACCACGCAACGAGUGCGCUCGACCUUACAACAUUGAGUGGCCAACAACAACAACCAUAUUGGCAAUUAUUCUUGUUGUAAUUGCUUAUUUGUUGUUGUUGUCGCAAUAUCCGAAAAAAAUAAUUUUAAAUUUUAACGGAUUUGACUUUUAUGCAUCGGUUGCUUUUUAAAUUCAAAUUGGCGCGCGAUUCAAGUUUUUGUAGUACCGGAAACGGACUGAUGGCGCCACAUUCAUUCAUUUUGGCCGUUAAAUUUGAAAUUCGAAUUAACAAGUUGGGAACAUUGCCUUCCUCGGCGAUUCUCAAGUGGUGUACCUAAGCAUCUACUUGUGUCAAAUGAAGAUUUUUUUUGAGGGUUUGUGAUUUUUGGCAGUUAAGUUUCGAAUUUGAAUUUAAUUGAAGAUUGUCAACGCCCUUCUCAUCGAUUCUCAAGUUAUGUACCUAAGCAUCUUAUUCAAGCAAAAAUAUUUUUUUUUCUAAUGGGCUUUUGGUUUUCUGUCAUUAGAUUCAAAAUUGCAACUCAUCUGUAAGCUACUUAUGUUUUUGUUUAACACUUGCUUGACUUGAGUUUUGGGUCCGUCUGUGUAUUAGAGGUGGAGAACUAUCGAUAGUCGGCGCCAUCGAUAGCGAGCGAUUUUUUCUCUUAAACCAUCGAUAGUGUCGAUAAUGCCAUCGAUAGUGUCAUGCUUUUUAAUUGUUAAAUGUAAAAAAAGCUAUAUGAAAUUUAAACAAAACUUUAUUACAUUCUUAACUCUUAAAAAUAAAAAAUACAUUUCAUUUGUUGCUUUUGUGUUAUACAAAUUAAUAAAUCAUUUCAUUUAUUUAAUAAACAUUUUCAUUUAGCUUCUUGGUAGAGCCAUUUGUUCUUAUUGAGGAACAAUAACAUGUUAAUGUUUUCCUCCUUCAGUCGAGUCGGCGAUCGGAGACUAUUUGUCCGGCCUUGCUAAACAUGCGCUCGGACUCCACUGAUGUGGCGGGUACGCACAAAAAUUUAAACAUUACGGUUUUUAUAAGUUCCAGAUCCGUUUCGUUCAUCUGAAAUUAUAAACAAAAAACUGAAUUUACUGAAUUUCACUUAAUACAAAUACACUUGCACUUACCUUUUUCGACAAUUGUUAGGAACUUCUCCAUGCUAUAACUUAUUUUUACUCUUCACUUUCAACAAUAUUUUGGUUUUCCACUAUAUUUUUGCUUUGCGCUUUAUUUUUGAUGUUCACUUUCAGCUAUAUUUUUUCUUUGUGAUGUGAGACGCCGAGUGUAAAACUAUCGAUAGUGCAGGGUUGCCAUCGAUGGCGGUGCGAUAGCUCCAAACCAUCGAUAGCGUCGAUAGUGCCAUCGACCUCUAUUGUGAUUUUUGGCAGUUAAGUUUCAAAUUUAAAUUUAAUUGAAGAUUGUCAACGCCCUUCUCAUCGAUUCUCAAGUUAUGUACCUAAGCAUCUUAUUCAAGCAAAAAUAUAUAUUUUUUUUCUAAUGGGCUUUUGAUGUUAUGGUCACACAGUGAGCAAUUUCCAUCGUAUUCUACAUAUGCGGACUUGAUUUAAUUAAAUAAAAUAAAAUCAUAGCUAUCAAUUUCAAAUUAUGGUGUUUUGAAUCAUUUAUUGUAAUUAUAAUAUUUGUAAAUUUCAUUAAUGAAAAGUAUCACAUUAUGGAAUCCAGGAUGGGUCCAAC